UGCAGGGAGCCCAAUGUGGGACUGGAUCCUGAGACCACAGGAUCAUGCCUUGAGGCAAAGGCUGAUGCUCAACCACUGAGCCACCCAGGCAUCCCAUUAAACUGGGUCUUGAACAAUGAAAACAUGAGAAGAGGAUCUUUCUAGUGAGGGAAAUCAUCUGAGCAAAAGCGUGGAGGUAGGAAGCAGAGGUCAUGUUUGGAGAAUGAUGGUGAGAAAUCCAUCCAGCUGAGGUAUAAGGGGAACUGGGGGAGGUGAAAUGAAACGCUAGGCUGUGACCAGGUUUUAUGGGGCCUUGAAUGCCACACCAAUUCAGAUAUUACGCUCAACAGCAGCAGUGUUCAGGGAGGCAAUAAUUACCUGGAUUGUGUGAGACAGUGAGGGAAGGGAACAGAUCACUGCUUUGAGAAGCAUGGUACUGAACGAAGUAAGGAAGCAACGAAGCAGCUUGAAGAAUUAGCAGGCUUAAAAAAUGGUUUGAAAGAUGUGAUGGGUUUAAAAUAUGUCUACAACUUUUUUGAUAUUCCUUUCUUUGGGAGGUAGAAACAGUUCUGCUCCUUUGUGGGCUGGAUUUGGUGACUCCCUUCUAGUCAAUUGAAUAAGGCAGAUGUGAUGGUACGACACUUCUGAGACUAGGUCCUAGAGGCCCUGGGGCUGCCCUCUUGCCUUCGCGGGUCACCUGCCCUGGGGGAAGCCAGCUGCCAUGCUGUGAGGAAACUCAACACUCAACCUUGGAAGUGGAUUCUGCAGCCCCUAGACAAGCUCUGGCUGACAUUGUGAUUGCAGCCCCAUGAGGGACCCAGAGCCAGAAGGACCACCAACUAAGCUGAUCUUCUGUUCCUGACCUACUGACACUGUGAGAUAAGGGUUGUUUUUAAUUUGCUAAUUUUUCUUUGUUUUUAGAAUUUAUUUAUUUAUCCAUGAGAGACACACAGAGAGAGGCAGAGACACAGGCAGAGUGAGAAGCAGGCUCCCUGCGGGGAGCCUGAUGUGGGACUUGACUCCAGGAUCACAACCUGAGCCAAAGGCAGAUGCUCAACCACUGACCACCCAGGUGUCCCUAAUUUGCUAAAUUUUGAGGUAAUUUGUUAUGUGAUAAUAACUGAUGGAGGAGGUGAGGGAAUAGGGCAGUCUUGACCGUGUUUGGGGGCUGAGAAGAAGAAGCCAACAGAGUCUGAGAGACUGCAGAUCCUGCAGGACAGGGAAAAUCAUGGUUAGGUCAAAUUCUGGAGGAAGUUUGUGGGGGAGAGAAUCAUGAGGAGAGGAUGGGGAAGUUAUUUUUGGAAAGGGAGGGUGAGGAUGGGGAAAAAAUUCAGAUGGGAGAGAUGGAAGGUACAAUCAAGCCAGACCUCCUUGAUUCCUGUACAUGAGGUCAGGUCACCCGCUGAGAUGAAGGAGCCUCUGGGACCAGGAGCGCCUGGAGAGUAGGAAAAAUUGGAAGAGCGACUGUGAGAUACCACAUAAAGAAUCCGGUAAAGCAAAGAACAUCGUUCUCUCCAGCGAAGCUUUGCACCCCAGGAGAGGAGGCUGAGAAAGCAGAUGACAGAGUUUACCCAGGAUUGAGGACUGACAAGGCAGCCAUGGAGGAUCAAGUGGGCCAAAGAUUCUGAGAUGCUGAUGUGAGGUGGCCAGACCAGAUUGUUGAUCCCUGGAGAGAUUACAACUGUGGACCACAUAAGGAAUGCUCAUCACCUGGAAGGCAACUUAAAGCGUAUGUUGUCAUCAACAGGGCUGAGGCAAAGUCAGUGUCAGACAAAGGAACAAGCUUUACUGGAUAAGUUGUGAGCCAAGAGUCUGCAAGAGAAGGCCCCGGGGUGCUCUGUUGGACGUGUUACAAGUGGGGACAUUAUCUCGGAUUAUCUGGUGGGCCCCAGACGCUGUCAUGUACCUCCUUACAAGAGGAAGGCAGGCAGAUUUGACGUAGACACAGAGGAAGAGGUGAUGUGAAGACAGAAGCAGCGACCAGAAUGAUACCAUCACAAGCAAGGAAGGCCAGAGGCCACCAGAAGUUGGAGGAGGCAAGGAAUGGAGUCUAUCUACUUUAGAGCCCAUAGAGGGGGAAGGCCCAGCGGACACCUCGAUUUGGGCCAGUGAUCCUGAUUUCCUACUCCUGGCCUCCAGAGCUGUGAGAAAAUACCUUUUUGUUGUUUUAAGCCCCCCAGUUUGUGGUAAUCUGUUACACAGCCGCAGGGCACUAAUACAACUACAGUCUCAUUAAUGUGUGUUCUAAUGAGCUUCUGGGGUAAAAUGUUUAUUUUAAUGGAUUUUGAAUACAGUCCUGAGGAUUUGUCCAACACAUUUUUCUCAAAUACUUCCUAUGUAUCACUAGAAUAUGAGCUCCAUGUGGUAGAGAGUUUCCAGUUUUGUUCACUGCUAUAGACUCGGCCUCUAGAAGAUGCUCAGUAGGGGCACGUGGGUGGCUCAGCGGUUGAGCGUUUGCCUUCGGCUCAGGGUGUGAUCCUGGGGUCCCGGGCUUGAGGCCCGCAUCAGGCUCCCUUUGGGGAGCUUGCUUCUCCAUCUGCCUGUGUCUCUGGCUCUAUCUCUCAUGAAUAAAUAAAAUCUUUAAAAAAAUAGAAGAUGCUCAGUAAAGGUUUUUGAGUGAUAUUUGUUAGCCACCCCUCUAGGCCCUAGGGUAUAGCAGUGGGCAAAACCGAUGAGGUCUCUGCACUUACGGAACUUCCAUUCUAGUGGAGGAAAGAUAAUGAACAAAUAAAUAUAUGACAUAAUGCCUAGUAAUGAUAAAUGCUAUGUGGGAAAAGCAGAAUAAGCGGUAGAGAGAGACUGGAAUUGUAAGGUGGUGCCAUUUUAGAUAUGGGAGUUAGGAAGGCUUCUCAGAGGAGGUGCCAUUUCAACAAUGGUCUGAAUGAGGUGAGAAAGCAAGUCUGGUGACUGUCUGAGGAAAAAAGUGUUCUAGGCAGAGGGAAAGACAUGCGUAAAGAUCCUGUGGUGGGAAAGGGCUUGGUCUAUAAGAGGAAUUGGAGGAACAGCAAAGAAGCCAGUGUGGCUGUGGCAGUGGAAAUUAGAUCAGAGAGAUGAGCAGGGUAGGAGUCAGGUCAGAAGGGACAUUUAUGGUUAAGACUUGGCUGAAAUAGGAGGGGGAAAAUGUAUCAACUUUCUACAAAGAAUUUACUUAUUUAUUUUUAAACAUUUUAUUUCUUUAUUUGACAGAGAGAGAGAGAGAUAGGGUGUGUGUGUGGUGGGGGAAGCAGGCUUCCCAGCUAAGCAAGGAGCCCCAUGCGGGGCUCAAUCCCAGGACCUCAUCAGAAUCAUGACCUGAGCCGAAGGCAGACCCUCAACCAACAGAGCCACUCAGGCACCGCUCUACAAAGAAUUUUUAAGUGAUCCCAGAUUUUCUGAACUUCAUCUAGUUAAAAGAAACAAGAAGGUUUUACACAUCUACCUUUUUCCUCAAUCUUCUUCUUCUGGGCUCUAGGUUUUUAGUAUGCUGUUCAGUUUUACAGAUGGUUGGAGAGUUUGGUUCUUUCUUCUGGUAGGAGUAGAGCCUGGACUUACAGAGGCUGGUAGUGGGGUUGUCUUUAAAUGAAUAAGUACUGUUGUUCAUCAUGACACAUUAAAGAUGCCUGAAAGGUUCUGCUCAGCCCAUGCUUGCUCACUUUGUUUAGAGAUUAUUCAGGGAGACAGGAACCAGAAAAGACUUGCUCUGUGGGGUAAUUUGUUUCCAGAAUUCAUUGUGAAUAGAACAUAUGGUUACUUGCAAAGGUGUGAAAUGACUUCCCUUAUAUAGAAAACACUACUACGCACAAGAAUUUUCUCUGUGGCCAGGCCACUCAUGUCAUAAUAUUAUUUCCAUUAUUCAGCACAUUUUUAAAGAUGUCCUAAUGGUACGAUUUUUUUUUAAUCUACCCAGACUACU